GGGUUUCAGCCUGCAAUCCGAACUGAGAGCUUGUUUUUGGGAUUUGCUCGACUUCGCAGUUUUGCUUCCCUCUAUUAAAGCCCAUUGUAGUACGUGUGUAGCCCAAGGCAUAAGGGGCAUGAUGAUUUGACGUCAUCCCCGCCUUCCUCCGUAUUUCUACGGCUGUCUGCUAUGAGUUCCCAACUUUACUUGCUGGCAACAUAGCACAGGGGUUGCGCUCGUUGCGGGACUUAACCCAACAUCUCACGACACGAGCUGACGACAACCAUGCACCACCUGUCUUCUUGUCUCCGAAGAGAAGGACUAAUUUCUUAGUCUGUCAAUCAAUGUCAAGCCUUGGUAAGGUUCUUCGCGUUGCGUCGAAUUAAACCACAUACUCCACCGCUUGUGCGGGCCCCCGUCAAUUCCUUUGAGUUUCAGUCUUGCGACCGUACUCCCCAGGCGGGGUACUUAUUGCGUUAACUCCGGCACAGAAGGGGUCGAUACCUCCUACACCUAGUACCCAUCGUUUACGGCCAGGAUUACCGGGGUAUCUAAUCCCGUUCACUCCCCUGGCUUUCGAGCCUCAGUGUCAGUUAUAGUCCAGAAAGCCGCCUUCGCCACUGGUGGUUCCUCCCAAUAUCUACGCAUUUCACCGCUACACUGGGAAUUCCGCUUUCCUCUCCUACACUCAAGAACUCCAGUUUCGGACCCAUCACGGGGUUGAGCC
rnacentral:rRNA from 1 species